UACGGGGGGUGCGAGCGUUGUCCGGAAUCACUGGGCGUAAAGGACGCGUAGGUGGUUUGAUAAGGGUGUGGUGAAAGUCCGGGGCUCAACCCCGGAUCUGCCGUGCCGACUGUCAAACUCGAGGGCUGUAGAGGCAGACGGAAUUCCGGGUGUAGCGGUGGAAUGCGUAGAGAUCCGGAGGAAGACCGGUGGCGAAGGCGGUCUGCUGGGCAGUUUCUGACACUGAGGCGCGACAGCGUGGGGAGCAAACAGG
rnacentral:rRNA from 1 species